CGAAUUUUACUACUUUUUUGUUGUUGUAACUAACAAUUAACCUCUCAGUCUAUGUCGUUAUUUUUGUUUGAAUUGUUUACAUGUUCGCUAUGUGGGGGAAAUGGUAAAACAAGCGGAACUACGUGGCUAAGAACUGUUGUUAACGGGGAUUAUUAUCGUAGCAACACAUUUUUGGAGUGAAGUCAAUCCCACACUGUUAGCUAGGUUUUUUCGUGUCUUCGGGUGCACUUCGUAAAGGUUGAGCGUGUAUGUUAAGGUGGUAACGUUAUACUAAUUAAGGAUGAAGCGUGAAUUCAUGCCAAGAAUAAUAAGUGUGAAGUUUGAUUUCAUCCCUACUGUAAUAAACAGCCAAUGAGUAAAUGCCUGGAAGGCUUCGGGUCUUGUGAUGACUGAGGUGAAAUAUUAAACAUGAACUAAGUGCACCUGUACUUGAUAUUCCAGAAUAACUGGUCUCUACAAACUGGGUAAGAGUGUUCAACAUUGUGUUUUUAACCAUAUACCCCUCCUUAACCCAUUGUUAACUUGUCAUUUGAAACAGGAUUGUAAAUACCUGUUUUUACGGAGACGGUAAACCUAGGCAGUUGAAUAUUUACAUGACUGUGGUGAUGUAAGCCUAGAUGGAAUAAAGUCAUUAUAUAUUUUUACAUUCUAGCUAACACAUUGUUCUUUCUAAACAAGUAUUCUCUGAGUAUCAAAGAUACUGCCCAUAAAAGGUCGUGAUUUGUUGUUGAUUUGUUGUUGACAUUUUGCACAACGUAGCAAAGCCCACUUCCGCUCAACUUUCUACCGGAUACAUAGCUUCCUGUCCCGAUCGCGUCCAAUCAGCCUGAUUUCAGCCAUACUAGCUCGUUUUAUCAUUAUCUCAGUAUAUUAAUAUGAUCAUAUUUCUAUAGUGUUCUUUUUAAUCAUUCUUGUUAAAUUCUGUUUAUCCUUUCAGUUAGUGAUUUUUGAAAAUCGAUUAUUGUGUUCUGUGUCUUUUUGUAUCUUAGCUAGCUACCUAUUAACUCGCUAACUAGUAAUGUCACUUACCAAUCAUGGCACUGUCUUACACAAGGCACUCGCAAGAGCUGCCAAAGAUAACAGUGAUGGAUGUACAUCGUCUGGCUCAGACAAGUAGCAAAGCACCGAACUCCAAGUUGGAAAAAGGAUUCAAACUUUGUCUCCAGUUACCUUUUCAACUAUGAAGGUUGUACUGAAGCCGGUAACAAUCACACAUCACUGUUCAUGUGUUGCUGGCACCUCAUUAUGCAACCACACAGUUGCGUUACUAUUCCAGUCUGCACACUAUUCCCGGAUGGGGACACCAGUCAUCCCACCUGUGCACGGAGGCCGAACAGCAGUGGCAUAAGCCAAGGACAAUGGGUCUGCAACCUGGGCCCAUAGGCAAAAUGACCAUCACCUACCCCACCAAAAAGCGCACGGCAGAAGGAGGGAUUAGAAGUACUCUACAGCGCCCUUCUUGGACCACUCCCCGACCUCUCAGUUCUCCAGAUAGAAGAGGCAUACAAAAACUUUGACCCUCUAUCCAAGCCAUUGAUCUGCAGCAUGGGGAUGUCUGCUGAAAAGCUUUUAGUCGGCUCCCACUUUGGAAAGGUACAGGUGGGGAGCCUCCUGUCUUACCAGCAGCCUCCAAUCACAACGUGACACAUAGUUCACCAUAAGGAGACACCACCAUUCCCUUCACUGCCCCUGGAUGGCUACAGACUAGAGAGCGACUGUCAAGGCUGCACAUGUGUGCUCAGUGAAGACGACCAGCUUCACAUAGUCUCUUCAGGUGAGAGAAUACAUAAAGACCCAGUGGUGUUCUCACUAAUUAGAGAGAAGGGUACUACUUGUGUACAUGCAAAAGUUCUUAGGCAGGAAAGACUAAAUAACAAGGGAUGGGCUCCUUUAUCUUUCAAUUAAUGAAGGGGAAACAAAACAAAUCUGUCUGCAAUUAAUAAUAAUUUUUAAAUCAUUGUUACAUGUUUCUGUUCUCUUGUCACUGUAAAUAAAAACUCUAUAACAUUGUUUGGAGUAUAAGCAGAGGUGUUUAUUAUCAAUAAAUUGACUACUACAGGAUGUUAGACAACGUGGAUGGUCACAGCAAAAGAAGGAAAGAUGCAAUGCAGUAGUAGCUCAUUGCUCCUUGGCCCAUGCCUUCACAAGAGGCCCACACUGGUAGUUUUGUGAGAAGGCAAGCCACAGCCCAGAUGUCACUGAUGGGAAGCAUCAACUGCAUGAGGAUCUCUUGGACAGGGUAGUUAUUCCACUGGAAUAGCAAAGGUAUUGCUCCCUUCUUCAGACAUCGAAGCCCACUAGAAGGUUCAAUGAAAUCUUAAUUUCCUAACUUUCAAUAAAGAUACCGCAACAACUAAUAACGUUAACGUCG
ensembl:lncRNA